ACAGUUGUAUUUAUUUCAGCUUUGCAUUUUAAUUUAAAUUGAAUCGUGUACCGCAUUGUAGGCCUACUCUAGAGGAUUCAUCUUCGACUCUAGCGGAAGGGUUAGCAGUCUUGAUUCUGCAAUAGAAAAAGAUUUGCAUUGAGAGGAGACGUAAGGUAACAGAAGCACGGGUUGUUUGUUCUAAUUUAGUGAGAGGAACAGAACAUUUAGCUCUUAGGGCUAGGAUGUCAGUGUUGAAUCAGAGUGGAGAAGAGCAGGUGGAAUGUCCACUGUGUAUGGAACCCUUGGAGGUGGACGAUCUCCACUUCUAUCCGUGCACAUGUGGCUAUC